UACCUGCAGCCCAAGUGGUGAUCGCCAUUAUUGGGCCUAAAACGUCCGUAGCCGGUUCUAUAAAUGCCUGGGUAAAUCGUACGGCUUAACCGUACGAAUUCCGGGUAGACUGUUCAACUUGGGACCGGGAUAGGCUAGAGGUACUCCUGGGGUAGAGGUGAAAUUCUGUAAUCCUAGGGGGACCACCAGUGGCGAAGGCGUCUAGCUAGAACGGGUCUGACGGUGAGGGACGAAGCCUUGGGGAGCAAACGGGAUUAGAUACCCCGGUAGUCCAGGGUGUAAACGCUGCUCGCUUGAUGUUAGUCGGGCUCCGAGCCCAACUAGUGUCGGAGAGAAGUUGUUAAGCAAGCUGCCUGGGAAGUACGGUCGCAAGGCUGAAACUUAAAGGAAUUGGCGGGGAGCACAGCAACGGGAGGAGCGUGCGGUU
rnacentral:rRNA from 1 species